rnacentral:rRNA from 1 species
GACGAACGCUGGCGGCGUGCUUAACACAUGCAAGUCGAACGGAGUGGCGAACGGGUGAGUAACACGUGGGUGACCUGCCCUGCACUUCGGGAUAAGCCUGGGAAACUGGGUCUAAUACCGGAGAGUGUGGGAGGGGCCAGCGGCCUAUCGGCUUGUGGGUGGGGUAAUGGCUUCCCAAGGCGGCGACGGGUAGCCGGCCUGGGAGGUGGGACGGCGACAUUGGGACUGGGACACGGCCCAGACUCCUACGGGGGGCAGUGGUGGGGAAUAUUGCACAAUGAGCGGACGCCUGAUGCAGCGACGCCGGGUGGGUGAUGACGGCCUUCGGGUGGUAAACUCCUGUCACCAUCGACGCGGUAGAUGGAGAAGAAGCACCGGCUAACUACGUGCCAGCAGCCGCGGUAAUUC